rnacentral:rRNA from 1 species
CGACUCUCGGCAACUGAUAUCUCGGCUCACGCAUCGAUGAAGAACGUAGCAAAAUGCGAUACUUGGUGUGAAUUGCAGAAUCCCGUGAACCAUCGAGUUUUUGAACGCAAGUUGCGCCCGAAGCCAUUCGGUUGAGGGCACGUCUGCCUGGGCGUCACG